GGAGACCCCGCCCGGCCCUGCCGAUCUCCGUCCCGGUGAGAGGCGACGAUCGCUCCAGGAGAAGCUCGGCCUCGGCAAGCAUGAUAGCGGGGGACGCUGUCAUCGUACCUGGAACGCUGGAAGAACCCACACUGGGGCCAAGGAGAAAAAGAGAAGUUUAGAGUGAAAUUGCUGUGGAAUUACUACAACUACAGAGGCAAUGCCUUCUUCAUAAAGGUAAGAAAACUGAAUACAAAAACAUACAGACUCAGAACACACUGUAUGAGUCUUCCUCUAAAGUUGUUCGGUAAUAUAUUGAGAAAACUGCAUGCUAAGUAAAGAUGUACAUACAGUUCAGAAACGCUUACUUCUCCUGAAUCAAAGGUAAUUCAUUACCUUCCUGUAUGUUGAUGUGAUUUACCAUUAAAUUUAUAGAAAGAAUUCCAGGGCUUUCAAGAAAAGCUUACACUAAGGUCAUCUUUUCAAAGCACUAUCACUACUACUACCUUAACUAACCAUACGUUUACAGUACUAGAACACAAGUCUUGUGUAAUUUGCCAUAGAGUGAAAAACAGACAUAAAUUGAAAUUUUGUAGUAUCCUAUGAUGAACACCUCCCUGUAUGAAAGGCAGUAAACCUUGUUUGUGCCCCAAAAGUUUUCUUUAUAAUCAAAACCACUAUAAAACCUGGUUAUUUUUUUUUUAAACUACUUAAGAAGACUGAAAUGAAUGUUCAGAAUAAAAUGAGCUUUGGCCACAAUGGUACAGUGAUGAUGACUGGCAAACACUUGUUGAUAGGUUUCUGAAGUCUAAGAUGAAAAGUAUGAGACAUUGUGCCAAACUGUGAUUCCAUACCACUAGCAAAAAAAAAAAAAAUAAGAGGUAGUAUUUCACUUGUGACUUGUUUUUAAAAAACGUUUUAAAAUAAAGCUUCAAUAGACCUGUAUUUUAAGAGGAAAUAAAAAAAAAAAACAAACCAUAGCUAAAAAUUUGGUCCAUCUCAUAAUGAAAAUUUCAUUACACAUAGUUUCAACAGAUCUUAGAUAAGAAUUCUUUCCCAACUCCUUAUCUCAAAGCAUCUCUAAUUAAUAUCCUGUACAUGCAUGUAUUGUCUUGAGUAAAGGUUGAGUAAAGAAGCCUAAGUUGCCAUGCAUCCUGGUAGCUUCAGCAGAGAAGUUUCUUCUAGAAAAGUAUUUUCCAAACUGAGGAAACAUGUGUUUCUACAGCAAUUAUUAUAUAAAUAAAUAUAAUUUUAUUUAAGAAAACUCCUUUUGUUAUUAGCAACUUUAAUUUUAAGCAUGCAGUGAAAGGUUAAUAAAGCAAGUUCAUCUUCUAGGUAGUCUUAGCUGUAAAUAUCAACUCUGCAUUGUUGAUUAUCAUCACUAAAGCUUAAAAAAACCUUUUUGUUAAAACAUCAGUUAAAAAGGCUAAAAACCACUGCAACAGAUCGAUGUUUUCUAUAGAACUGGAAGCUUCUUAGACCAAGGUAACCACCUGUUUAUGUACGCUAAAAGCUGAACAUCUAUUAACGGAAUAAGCAAGCAAGUACUGACAGUCUGAAAUCCAAAAGUUAAUAGAACAUACGCAGCAAAAGCUUCAUCGUUAGCCACCACACCCACAGCAUGUGCCACCACAGCUAAAAAUUAAAAAAUAUCGUCAAUUACCAAUUACAGAAGUAGAUCAAUACUACGCAUCAGAAGUAAGCCUCUCUUUAUCAGAUGGCUGAGCAUGGAUCUCAGCCUUGUGAUAUGUGGCAUCGUAAUGAUCUUUCUUACUUCUUUUGAAGAAACCACACUACAAGGAAGCAAGGUAUUUAGUCAAUUUCAGUGGACCGGAAGAAGAGUUAAACCUAUCAGAACCGACUAGAAUAACCAUUCCGUAAUCCCUUCACAGGCUGGUUGCCUGAAGUUUUAGGAAGUUUUCACAAGAAAAGUCAGCUGCUGUUACUAGAUUUGAGAACUUCUGGGACUAACUUACUCUGUGCAAGAGCAAAAUAACCUGGGGUGUAAGGAAUAUUAUUAUUUUAGAGGCUUUGUGAUAAAAUUUUAAUGCAUUGUUUUUUGAAGAAAAGCUACUUAAACAGCAUGUCUGUAGCAACUAAAGCUGUCUGUAAAGAGCAGCAAGAUCUCUAUACAAAAACCAAUUUAUGCACAUGGUAAAUGCUUUGACCUGUUCAACAGGAGCACGUCUCAUCCCCAGCCACCUAAUUGCCUAUGAUGUACAGCAUUUGUCUUUCAUAAGAUGAUUUUUUUGUCAUCAGAAGGAGGAGUUCACAGUGUGUAUGAGAGCAUUUUCAUGUGCAGUAGACGACUAACAGUUGUAAACUAACAGCCCAUCCAAAACGUUAAUGAUAAUUCAUCAGAAGGAGGAAAUCAAGUGUCCUGUGAGAAGUCAUCUGUAGCAAGCAGCAAGUCCAACAAUGCCACCUGCUCCAGUUUCUUCUGAGGGAAGUGACAGGAUAUUCCUCUUCACCCACUCUUUCUAAAUGAGUGUCUUCUCUCCCCAUCAACUUAUACUAACUGCUGAAGCCAGUAAGUAAUAAGAAUAAAAUAACUACCCUAUUCUACUUGGAACCAGUUAAUUGCCAAAAUACCAAAGGCAUUUUAAAAAGUACUUGUUUUUUUUUUCUUUUGCAAAUUCUUAACUUUUGCUUUUAAAUAUGAAUUUACUCCUUCAGGGUUUCUAAGACAAGGAGCCCAUACAAAAGAAAUUGAACACACAGGUAUUUUUGAGAGUUGCACAUAUGCAAAGCACAGUCACCUCAACUUCCUAUCUGAAACCAGCAUGCAAUAACAGCACCACGGUUUGCAGAAGAAAUAAGAAACAACAAAUUCUGAAGAAAACCAAGACUGAGAAAACAGUGUGUAGAUGGGUACAAUACAGUGGGUACAACCUCCCUGUGCUUGCAGACACCAGGUCCCAGCAUCUAGAGAGGGAUUGGGCCCCAGCACCCACUGCACCUCGCUGCCAUGCCCCUGGCAGAACAGCCGAGCCAACAAAGCACAACUGAAGAGAUGAAGUUUAAGUGCCACUUCAGUCUCAGAAAAGACAUCAAAGCAUCUUACUGACUUCCCCAGUGACGGACCAGACCUUCGGGUAACCAUAUGUGCAAAGCAUGCUUCAUACAGCCACAGAACUCCAAGCAGGAAGAAGGCAGUGGCAACUCUCUCCCUGGGGCCUCAGUGCUCAGCAAGCACUCCACAAGUCAGAUAACAGCAAGAAGACUGUCUGUCUCCUAACUCAAAUUAGCCCAACAGAGAUACUGAAUCCAAAGCAAAAUACACCAGAAACAGCUUUUCAUUUGAACAAGCACCAGAGACUAUGAAGCAGCAGGGUACAGCUCUGAGGUCCUAUCUGCUCUCAUCAGUGACCUGUGAGAAGUGCAGCAGAGGCUGUAACAUCCCUCUUCAUCAAUGAAUGAAAAUGACAGCGGGAACUAAGAGGUUCUGCUCACAGCCACCUACCUGAACCUCCUUCAGUAGUGUCCACAGAACUCCCUGGCUGCUUUCAGCAAGACAGCUGCAGUUCAGAUGAGGCAAGAGCAUCAGAAACACAACAGCUCCAAGUUCCUGCAAGUAUUCCUCUCACUCCACGGUGAAUUCCUUUCCUCACUCACAGCCUGGAACUUUCUGAGGACAACAUACAGUUUUCACAAUAUACUUCAAAGAAGAGCAGUUGUCAGCAAUUCAUUGCAGUAUCUCAGGAACAGUCACUAGCUUGAAAGAUAAGUCUAAAGGAAGGAGAACACCUUUAACAUCUUUGGCAGGAAACUCUUGUUCAUCAAAGGAAGAGGUUUCCAUUGAGUAAGCUACACUGUGACUUAAACAAAUACAAAAAUACUGUGGUCUGCACUAAGCUCAGACACUAUGUCUUCAUUCCUUGAAUUCCUUUCUUUCCCACAGUAUCUUCUACCCCAAACAAGGCACCAGCCUUUGCCAUCUUCUCCUUAAAAGUAACAGCAACACAUUACUAGUGGCAGCUCUGUGCUUUAACAGACUGGAGCAGAAAUCACUGGAAGCGUUUCCUGGGUAACCAACCAUUAGCCAUUUCCACAAAUAGGCAGAAUAAAAUAGUCAGUGGUGUACGCAAUUUCCAAUUUUGCAACCUUCAUUGAGCACAAAUGUCCAAUUUAAUGUUGCUAUUCUCAGUAACAAUGGUGCCACUGCACACUUUGCACUUCACUGUGUUUUCAGAAAGACUCCAUCAGCACGAGGGGGGCAAAGCUGGGAAGCGAUGAAGCUAAACGCUGUACAACUUCUCCCACUCCUGGCUAGACAGAGAGACUCCCCACAUCCCUUCCUCCUGCACUCUGCCUCAGAGCAUUUCAUUCCAUUGAUGAAGAAAUGAAACUAACAACCACCAACUGAUUACAUUUAUACCACCAAGUCACCAAUCACAGUACCCAGACACACAACAUGUGUCCAACAACUGCCGGUAGAGACAGCGCAUCUCCAUGCAGGGUCUCCAUGCAGACAUCUGCCCAGAGCCCUCCACAAGGAUGGACCUUCGCCACCUGCGCAGCUUUGUCCACAUGCACUAUCUUGUUCAGAGACCCCGCACCACCUCUUCAGCUUUGCUCUACUCUCAAGGCAGAAACAACAGGCAGGCAGCCACUCUACAGGAGCAGGGUGUCCCCAGGGGCACCGCUUCUGCUCUCCCUCAACAAACUGUGGUCAUGGAAGAACUUCCUCAUAAGGGAACAAGUGUGUCAAGUAUCCAAAUUUUAGAAUAGGAACAUCAAACUGUAAGGCAUCUCAACAUAAGUGAUGUUGGUUAAUGGGAUAGACUGUUUUUAAUCCCAAGCAGUACCACCUCUGCUACGCAAGGAUCUGGCUUCCAGCAAUAGAAGCAGGGACAGGUGCGGUUUCACACCAACAACCAACUGAACUCCACCAGACCUCUCCCUCACUCCCCUUUCAUAAGUGAGUAAGAAAAUAUGAUGGGAAGAAAAAAGUUCACAAAUUGAGAAAAUAAAAGGGAAAAGAAAGGAAAAACAAGCAAAGGCCAUAUGGAAGCAAAAAGAGAGAAAACAAUUAUUCUCUACUUCCCAUCAUCGAGUGAUGUUCAGCCACACCUUGGGAAGCAAGGCCUCAAUAAGCUUGGCCGCUGUUUGGGAGAAUGGAUGCGUUCUUAACAGGAACUUCUCCUUCCCUUUUCCCAGCUUGUAUUGCUGUGACAUAGAACGUCCCUUUGGUCACCUUAGACCAGCUGCCCUGGCCACGUCCCCUACCCCCUCCUGCCCACUCCCAGCAUGCUGGGUUUGGGGUUUGGAGAGUCUUCAUGCUGUUCCAGCACUGCUUAUCCAUAGACAAACACUGGGUAGGUACCAAAGCUGUUCCAGCUUCAAGUGCAGAGCACAGCACUAUAUAGGCUGCUGUGGGUGAACUCCAUCCCAGCCAGAGCCAGCACAAGGACAGGAGCACCACAGACAUCCUAGCACGGAGCCCUUCCUACUCAGGCAGUAAUGGGAACUGGAGCUCAACCAAGGGAAUGGGCUUCUGAAAAAGCAGCCGCUCCCAGAAAAACGCAGCCAGAAAUGACGUCUGUGGGGAAAUUGUUCACAGUGCUUUUUGCAGAUACCCACUGUUUCCAGGCUGUUAUGAACAGCUAUUUUAAGUGACAGACGAUUCUUCUAAUCUGCUACUGCACUGCUACAUUUUCCUACUACCAUCUCAGAGCCAUGGCCAAGUACACCAUUAAUCUCUGUUGCCCGGAGGCCUGGCAUUUAAAGGAGUGUGAUUUUCAUUUUAUUAGCUCAGCCUUUUUCAGGAAGCAGAUUACGAUAGGGGCUGGGAAAAGCAGCCAAAAGCAGCAUAAGGGCCAGAGCGAGCUACAAAGCAAAAUGAACUACAAAGCUACCUGUUGUUCUGCAAAGGCCACUAAUUAUUGACUUUCUGAAAGUCACAUGGAAAAGCAAACACUUUCCAACACUUUCGUCUCACAGCCAAGAGCUCAGCGUGUAUGGAUUUGAAAUCAGUUUUGUAGAUCUCAUUUUCACUGGCAGAAAGCAUUUUUUCAAAGUCCUAUUUCAAAAUACAGCUUUCCAUUUUGUCCAGCUUUCUCUCGCUGUAACUAGGAGAUACACUGUUUUUUGUUGUUUUUUUUAAACAGUCAAACAGUAUGUGAAAACUACAAUUCAGUUUUAAUUUCUCCCUUACAAACUGUACAUCUCCCCCACAUUUAAAAGAAAGAGCACUGGCUCAGGAAUAGACCUGAGCAUGAAGUGAUACCAUAAAACAUUUACUAGAUUGUGUUAUAACUAAACUGUGAUAAAAUUAUUAAAGACACUGUGUUAAAGGGA